GCUCCCAUGGCGUAGUGGUCACUGCACUCGCCUUGCACGCGGGAGACCCGGGUUCGAGUCCCGGCGGGGUCA
rnacentral:tRNA from 1 species